rnacentral:lncRNA from 1 species
CCACCUUCAAAAUGUGGGAGGUUAAGUUUCCUAAACUUCACUAUAUUGUGGGAGAUAGAUCGAUCUAUGUUUCGGAAUUCAAGGGUAGAGGGUGGACAAGGGUUGACCUAGUUUUAUCAUACAAUUGUAGUUAAUCCUUGAAUGGCUCAGAAAAGUUCUGCAAAUUCAGCUUUGGUCGGAUGAUCCGGGGCUUCAGGUCAUUCAGUACGCUUUAUAGAUGGUCUUCCUCGCAUCAUUCCUACAAAAGAAACGAAGACAUGAGUUGGAGAUUUAAUCUUUGAAAAAAGGAUAUUAUUUUUCCCAAGGUACUCUAAAAGGUUUAUCUACCUUAGGCCUCAAUGCAAGAAAUUUGUUUCGCAAAAUUCUGCUUUGAUACCACCUGUGACAUCCCAAGUGCCAAUUGAGGCAAAUGG